UGCUCUCGCGAGGUCGCUUCUCUUUGUAUGCGCCAUUGUAGCACGUGU
rnacentral:rRNA from 1 species